GACGAACGCUGGCGGCGUGCCUAAUACAUGCAAGUAGAACGCUGAAGGAGGAGCUUGCUUCUCUGGAUGAGUUGCGAACGGGUGAGUAACGCGUAGGUAACCUGCCUGGUAGCGGGGGAUAACUAUUGGAAACGAUAGCUAAUACCGCAUAAUAGUAGAUGUUGCAUGACAUUUACUUAAAAGGUGCAAUUGCAUCACUACCAGAUGGACCUGCGUUGUAUUAGCUAGUUGGUGGGGUAACGGCUCACCAAGGCGACGAUACAUAGCCGACCUGAGAGGGUGAUCGGCCACACUGGGACUGAGACACGGCCCAGACUCCUACGGGAGGCAGCAGUAGGGAAUCUUCGGCAAUGGACGAAAGUCUGACCGAGCAACGCCGCGGGAGUGAAGAAGGUUUUCGGAUCGUAAAGCUCUGUUGUAAGAGAAGAACGAGUGUGAGAGUGGAAAGUUCACACUGUGACGGUAUCUUAACAGAAAGGGACGGCUAACUACGUG
rnacentral:rRNA from 1 species